CGAAUGAUUCCUUUAUAUUUAUCAGAGAUGGAUGGAUUGGAAAAAUCAGAGCCAACCAUUUGGAAAGAAUUUCUAGAAGGCAAUUGGGUGGUGAAUAAAAAUAAAAUUCCAUUCUCAGCUUUAGGUGACGAUGAAGCCCUAGAACAUGAAAACAGGAGGCUGAAGGUUCAAGGAGGACUGACCGGCAUGACUCUGAAUGAAUCAGCAAGGACACGAUUCUUUUUGACUGACGUCGAGUUAACUAACAUAGCAUUGAAACUGGAGAAAUUUGCUCAAAAAAAAAUUUACCAAGAGUCCCAGCAUCACAGUAUGUCUACCAAGACGAGAAAUAGACAGGAUAAAAAUGUUCUUUUAUUGAAAGAAUCUUUUGAAAGGACAACCAAUCCAUUUUCAUGCCGCAAUGCAAACUUAAUUCAUUUUGUUUCACAACAAAUUUUCACCGCGGACAUUGAAAAGGAUGUCGGUCGAAUAAAAACUGUUGGUGAGAAAAUGUUCCUUGCUUUCACUCAAGAGCGCAUCGAGACCUGCUCUGUGCCGUUUUGGUCACCUAUGCAAAAAGUAAAGCUCAACUUAUGCAAAUCUGCCAAUAAAAAAUUGAAAAUUGAUGUUAAGGGAAAAAUAACAGAAAUUAAGGCAGAUACUGCACUUCUGACUAGACUUAUCGUGGCGUCCAGAUCAAGAGCUGAUGUUGACAUGAAAACAUGCAUUUCUAAUUAUGAAUUAUCUGCAGUUCCAAGAUCACUUUUCGCUUCAAACGGCAGUAUGCAUCACUGUUUAUCAAAAUAUAAGCUAGCCGAGCAACUAGAAUCUCUACCAGUACCGUCAACCGAUCCAGAUGGUGAUUUGCUCGACAUAAACCCGGGCGAUUUGACCUCCAUGAAAGUUGCAAUCGUCGAUGGUAUGGCUCUGCUCCACACGAUUUCAAAGCCAGGUUCCAUAAAAACAUGCCACGAAUUAGGCGUUUAUUUUUGCAAAAUUGUCAGCGAAAAAUAUAAAACUUAUGAUGAGAUCCAUAUGGUAUUUGAUUCGUAUAAAGAAGGCUCUCUGAAGACUGCAAUCAGAAAUUUUCGGCAGAGUAGUGCAGGCAGAAGUCAGUACCAAAUACUCCCCACAACAAAUAUCCGUAAUACAACCAUGAAAAAAUUACUUUCGCACGAAAAAACAAAAGACGAGUUAACGGAUUUUUUUGCAAAGUAUCUCCUUAGUUAUGGAUCCGACAACAAAAAGAAUUACGUAGUCAGCUGGCGGGGCGAAGCCCAA
rnacentral:lncRNA from 1 species